rnacentral:lncRNA from 1 species
UCAUGACUCAGAACAUGAACCACAAAAACACCAUCUCUCCUGGAGCUGGGACCUUCCUUUUCAGAGGGAUGGCCUCUGGAAUGCCUUGUUAAGGUGCAGGUUGUGAGCUGGAAGAAAUGAUGGGUGACUUCGGUGACCAGUCAAACAGCCUAAAUAAGAAAUGCACCAACACUCAGAUGAAGCUGAGGGUCCACUGGCUGAUACACACAUAGCAAAUACUGGGCUGGACACAAAGACACCAAGGACAUUGGUAACAACCUCGAGCUCUCUUGCUGUCUUCCUAGAGCAAAUUUUUUGUUGUUUUGCAAUAAUACCAAUUAUUAUUGGUAGAACUGCCUAUAUUAAGCUGACUAUGGAACAUUAGGGUGCUAUAGAACAUGGAGGGCACAGCUCGUGUCCCUGUCAGGACUGAACACCUACUGGAUGGCUGCAUCUGACUGCAGGAGGCUGGACUAGGCGACUUGAGAGCUCCUGCUGCAUGUUAUACAUCAACCAAGCAGAGCAUGUAACUGUAAUGGAUGAGCGCUGCUCUUCUGAACAGUUUCAUCAGGAAAAGUGUCUUAGGGAGUCCUCAAGACCAAGCUACCAAGAUCCACUGACCAGUCGUUGCUGAGCUGCUGUAAUAGGAACAAGAAGUGCUGUUUGUCCUCUUUUAAUAAACACAUAAUCUGUUAGCA